rnacentral:tRNA from 1 species
GCCGCGGUGGCGGAAUUGGCUUACGCGACAGACUUAAAAUCUGUUGGGAGAAUAUCCCGUGUGGGUUCGAGUCCCACCCGCGGCA